GAUGAACGCUGGCGGCGUGCUUAACACAUGCAAGUCGAACGAUGAAGCCCAGCUUGCUGGGUGUAUUAGUGGCGAACGGGUGAGUAACACGUGAGUAACCUGCCCUUAACUCUGGGAUAAGCCUGGGAAACUGGGUCUAAUACCGGAUAGGAGCGUCCACCGCAUGGUGGGUGUUGGAAAGAUUUAUCGGUUUUGGAUGGACUCGCGGCCUAUCAGCUUUUUGGUGAGGUAAUGGCUCACCAAGGCGACGACGGGUAGCCGUCCUGAGAGGGUGACCGGCGACACUGGGACUGAGACACGGCCCAGACUCCUACGGGAGGCAGCAGUGGGGAAUAUUGCACAAUGGGCGCAAGCCUGAUGCAGCGACGCAGCGUGAGGGAUGACGGCCUUCGGGUUGUAAACCUCUUUCAGUAGGGAAGAAGCGAAAGUGACGGUACCUGCAGAAGAAGCACCGGCUAACUACGUG
rnacentral:rRNA from 1 species